CUGCUAGGAACUUAUCCAAACCUCAGUCACAUGCAAGGGUAAUUUGACUGGGGAAACAAACCACUCUCUCAUUCCUGAGCAUCUCAGCUCCUCAAGGAGAGUAUAAGCUCACCGGAGUGAGUGAGUUUUCCUUAAACUUCUUGUUCUCACAGACUGCAGCCCUGUGAAUUAGAACUGGAAAGUUGGUAAGCAGUGACAGGUCAAGUAAAGAUAAACCUGAAGAGUUGACUGAAAUUUGCUUCUGCCAUUUUUUCUUAAACAUUCUUUGCCUAGAACUUCAGCCAACCCUCCUAAGAUGGUGUGUGAAUAUGAAGAUCACAAAACUUUAGAAAAUGGUUUAGGAUCCUGUUAUUAAUGCUCCUAAGUAUAAUGUACCAUUCCUCAGUGGUGGUAUUUCCAGAGUUGGAAGUGUGGCUAUGUUACUUUAAUCUGCGUUAAGUGCCCCACAGGGAAGGUUACGUAAAAGUGCAAGAAAUUGUGAAACCAAUUUGGAUAGCAUCUGAAUCUUAAGACCUGAGAACCAGAAGAGUCAACGGUGUAAGUUCCAGCCCAAAUACAAAAGCAGAAGACCAGUAUCCCAAUUUGGGGACACUCAGACCACAAAUUCUCCCUUCCACUGCCUUUUUUUGUUCUAGUCAGGUCUUCAAUGGAUAGGAUGAGGCAUACCCACUUUAAGGAGGACAACCUGCUUUACUCAACCUUGAAAUGUUAAUCUUAUUCAGAAACACCCUUUUUUAUUUAACCAA
rnacentral:lncRNA from 1 species